UGGGGAAUAUUGCGCAAUGGGCGAAAGCCUGACGCAGCGACGCCGCGUGAGGGAUGAAGGUUUUCGGAUCGUAAACCUCUGUCAGAAGGGAAGAAACCGCACUGUGCUAAUCAGCAGUGCCUUGACGGUACCUUCAAAGGAAGCACCGGCUAACUCCGUGCCAGCAGCCGCGGUAAUACGGAGGGUGCAAGCGUUAAUCGGAAUUACUGGGCGUAAAGCGCACGUAGGCUGCUUUGUAAGUCAGGGGUGAAAUCCCACGGCUCAACCGUGGAACUGCCUUUGAUACUGCUUAGCUUGAAUCCGGGAGAGGGUGGCGGAAUUCCGUGUGUAGGAGUGAAAUCCGUAGAUAUCUGGAGGAACAUCAGUGGCGAAGGCGGCCACCUGGACCGGUAUUGACGCUGAGGUGCGAAAGCGUGGGGAGCAAACAGG
rnacentral:rRNA from 1 species